CUGAAAUGAAGUAUUUAGUUUUAUGCGCAGUGC
rnacentral:sRNA from 1 species